CCCUUAGAUGUUCUGGGCUGCACGCGUGCUACACUGAUAUUGCCAAUAUGUCAUUCUUAUCCGAAAUGGAUUGGGUAAUCAAGUAAUGAAAUUUCAUGCUUGGAAUCGGUAAUUGCAAUUUUAUCGUGAACGAGGAAUUCCUAGUAAGCACUAGUCAUCAGCUAAUGUUGACUAUGUCCCUGCCCUUUGUACACACCGCCCGUCGCUACUACUGAUUGGGUGUUCAAGUGAGAUGCUUAGACCCUUGUUGCAUGGUUCAUUAUUGUGCUCCGAAAGGAAAAAGUUUCAAGCUUGAGUGUCUAGAGGAAGUAAAAGUCGUAACA
rnacentral:rRNA from 1 species